rnacentral:rRNA from 1 species
ACAGAGGGGGCAAGCGUUGUCCGGAGUUACUGGGCGUAAAGCGCACGUAGGCGGUUGUGCAAGUGGUGUGUGAAACCAAUCAGCUUAACUGAUUGACGCCAUGCCAAACUGCACGACUAGAGUUAUGGAGAGGUUGCUCGAAUUGCCGGUGUAGUGGUGAAAUGCGUAGAGAUCGGCAGGAAGACCAAGGGAGAAAUCAGGCAACUGGCCAUAUACUGACGCUCAGGUGCGAAAGCGUGGGGAGCGAACUGGAUUAGAUACCCAGGUAGUCCACGCCGUAAACGAUGUAUGCUCGGUAUCUGGAGCUGUUAAGGCUUUGGGUACCUCAGGAAACCCGGUAAGCAUACCGCCUGGGAAGUACGAACGCAAGUUUA